GAUGAACGCUAGCGGCAGGCCUAAUACAUGCAAGUCAAGGGGAUAGCAAUAAUCACCGGGCGGACGGGUGCGUAACGCGUACACAACGUGCCCAAGGGCGGAGGAAAGCGGCGGGGAAACUGGCCGGUAAUACGUCCAUGGUGUUGUUGAGUGGCAUCGACUUAACGAACUAAAGUACAAGCGCCCUUGGAUCGGUGUGCGUUCGAUUAGCUAGUUGGCGGGGUAACGGCCCACCAAGGCUUCGAUCGAUAGGGGGUGUGAGAGCAUGACCCCCCACACGGGUACUGAGACACGGACCCGACUCCUACGGGAGGCAGCAGUAAGGAAUAUUGGACGAAUGGGCGGAAGCCUGGAUCC
rnacentral:rRNA from 1 species